GACGAACGCUGGCGGCGUGCCUAAUACAUGCAAGUCGAACGCUGAAGGAGGAGCUUGCUCUUCUGGAUGAGUUGCGAACGGGUGAGUAACGCGUAGGUAACCUGCCUGGUAGCGGGGGAUAACUAUUGGAAACGAUAGCUAAUACCGCAUAACAGUAGAUGUUGCAUGGCAUUUACUUAAAAGGUGCAAUUGCAUCACUACCAGAUGGACCUGCGUUGUAUUAGCUAGUUGGUGGGGUAACGGCUCACCAAGGCGACGAUACAUAGCCGACCUGAGAGGGUGAUCGGCCACACUGGGACUGAGACACGGCCCAGACUCCUACGGGAGGCAGCAGUAGGGAAUCUUCGGCAAUGGACGGAAGUCUGACCGAGCAACGCCGCGUGAGUGAAGAAGGUUUUCGGAUCGUAAAGCUCUGUUGUAAGAGAAGAACGAGUGUGAGAGUGGAAAGUUCACACUGUGACGGUAUCUUACCAGAAAGGGACGGCUAACUACGUG
rnacentral:rRNA from 1 species